AUUGAACGCUGGCGGCAGGCCUAACACAUGCAAGUCGAACGGCAACACGAUAAGGGUUUGCGUUUACCGGUCGCGAGGGGCGGGCGGGUGAGAAGUACAUCAGACUCCCCUAUGUCGUGGGGUAUCUCGUGGAAACGGUUACUAUAAUAGCGCAUACUCCCAACGGCAGAGAGCAGGAGAUCAUGGGCCCUUGCCCGAGUGUGUGAGCCGAUGUCGGAUUAGCUAGUGGGUGGGGUAACGGCUCACCAAGGCGACGAUCCGUAGCUGGUCUGAGAGGAUGAUCAGCCACACUGGAACUGAGACACGGUCCAGACUCCUACGGGAGGCAGCAGUGGGGAAUAUUGCACAAUGGGCGCAAGCCUGAUGCAGCCAUGCCGCGUGUGUGAAGAAGGCCUUCGGGUUGUAAAGCUCUUUUAUUGGGGAAGAAAAGAAGCAGGUUAAUACCUGGACGUAUUGACGGUACCCAAAGAAGAAGCACCGGCUAACUUCGUG
rnacentral:rRNA from 1 species